rnacentral:tmRNA from 1 species
GGGGCUGAUUCUGGAUUCGACGGGAUUUGCGAAACCCAAGGUGCAUGCCGAGGGGCGGUUGGCCUCGUAAAAAGCCGCAAAAAAAUAGUCGCAAACGACGAAACCUACGCUUUAGCAGCUUAAUAACCUGCUUAGAGCCCUCUCUCCCUAGCCUCCGCUCUUAGGACGGGGAUCAAGAGAGGUCAAACCCAAAAGAGAUCGCGCGGAUGCCCUGCCAGGGGUUGAAGCGUUAAAACGAAUCAGGCUAGUCUGGUAGUGGCGUGUCCGUCCGCAGGUGCCAGGCGAAUGUAAAGACUGACUAAGCAUGUAGUACCGAGGAUGUAGGAAUUUCGGACGCGGGUUCAACUCCCGCCAGCUCCACCA